rnacentral:rRNA from 1 species
GACGAACGCUGGCGGCGUGCUUAACACAUGCGAGUCGAACGGAAAGGCCCUGCUUUUGUGGGGUGCUCGAGUGGCGAACGGGUGAGUAACACGUGAGUAACCUGCCCUUGACUUUGGGAUAACUUCAGGAAACUGGGGCUAAUACCGGAUAGGAGCUCCUGCUGCAUGGUGGGGGUUGGAAAGUUUCGGCGGUUGGGGAUGGACUCGCGGCUUAUCAGCUUGUUGGUGGGGUAGUGGCUUACCAAGGCUUUGACGGGUAGCCGGCCUGAGAGGGUGACCGGCCACAUUGGGACUGAGAAACGGCCCAGACUCCUACGGGAGGCAGCAGUGGGGAAUAUUGCACAAUGGGCGGAAGCCUGAUGCAGCAACGCCGCGUGCGGGAUGACGGCCUUCGGGUUGUAAACCGCUUUCGCCUGUGACGAAGCGUGAGUGACGGUAAUGGGUAAAGAAGCACCGGCUAACUACGUG